AUGAAGAUGAACUUCAUCCUACAUGGCCCAGUUAUAAUGAUGUAUACUGAUCUAUUCUUCAUCUACUCAGGCCAUAAUGAGAUUAAGAAUCAGAUGGAAAGGGAGCGAGAGGUAACAGAGGAGAGACAGGUCAAAGUGGACCAAGAACAUCUAGAUCUAUUCAGUUGUUUGAACAAUGAGCAACUAGCUUGUUUCAAUGACAUAAUGGAUCAUGUGACAAACCCAAAAAUCCAGAUAUUCUUUGUUGACGGUCCAGGAGGCACUGGGAAGACGUACCUGUACAAGGCAUUGUCUGCAAAGGUCCGUUCGAUGGGCCUAAUAGCGAUCGCAACUGCUACAUCCGGUAUAGCGUCUGACAUUGUGAUUGCUUAUACCGAUGAUGAAGAACCUAUUAACAAGCUUAUCGAAGAUGUCUUCCCAUCCCUGCACACCAAUGCUAGGUCGAGAGAGUACAUGAGCAGCACACGUGCAAUUCUCUCGACCAAAAACGAGCAUGUGGAUGACCUGAAUGACAAGAUGAUCUCCAAGUUUCCAGGCGAAGAAAAGGUGUACCAUAGCUUUGGCUAUAUCGAGGAUGACUUCCAGAAUAAUUACACGAUUGACUUCCUGAACUCGAUCACACCAAAUGGGUUGCCCCCGCAUGUCUUGAGAGUAAAAAUCAACUGCCCGGCCAUUUUGCUACGGAACCUCGACCCUCAUAAUGGGCUAUGUAAUGGAACACGGCUUAUGAUCAGGGCCUUCCAGGAUAAUGCAAUUGAUGCAUAG
rnacentral:rRNA from 1 species